GCUGAGUAAUUGUCCCAGGAGCGAGUCACACUCCCGGACAGGGGCACAUUUUGCUCUUUGGAAUGUUGGCAGAGUAAACAAUUGGCCGCUGACAAAUCUCCACCAGCCUCACCCCCCGGGGACAGGAGGCUUAAGAGAGACAAAGCCUGUCAAAGUGCUGUGUAAACUGAAGUCCCGUACCAGGGUCGGCUCGCUGGUCAUCAGGAACACGAACGUCACGUGGUCACCCCCAAGAUGUAUGAGUUAAAAAGCCCAGAGAUGCUUUUGACUGUCGCCGUUUGUAUGGGUCACCCGCUGACCCGCGUUCCUUUCCAACUGGCUGCGAAGUUCUUCCCCCGCCGGCCCUAUCAAGUCCCUUCCACUGGGCUCUGACUGCCUGUGUUCUUAUUUAGCAGAAUUGUUUCUAAUAAUUAAAAUAUAGCCGCUAAUUAUUUUACUACCCCUAAAACUAAGUAGAAUCAUCUUUAAGGGGGAAAGGCCACCGGUAACACAGGGUUGUAGGGCAGAGGGGUAUUGCAGGCUGAAUUUAACCCCGUCAAAAUUCAGGCACUCAAGUCCCAAACUCCAGUAUCUCAGAAUGUGACUGUUAUGGGGAAUAGGGUUAAAGAGGUAAUUAAGUUAAAAUGAAGUCAUUAAUGUGGGACCUAAUUGACUAUGAGUGGUGUCCUUAUAAGAAAAGGAGAUAGAACACAGGCACACAGGGAAGACCGGCUAAAGACAGGCAGCAGGUGUCCAUCUACAAGCCGAGGAGAGAGGCCUCAGAAGAAACCACACCCGCGGACAACUUGAUGUUGGACUUAUAUGCUCCAGAACUGCCUAAAAAUGAAUAAAGAAACUGCUCUCCCUCCACCCCAACUUUGCUGCUGAGCUUGAAUCUGGAUUCUGUAGAAUUCCUCCAGGAUUUACUGUUAAUGUAUUAGAAAUUGAAGGAAUCUAUUUUUUUUUAAAGAUUUCAUUUAUUUAUUUGAGACAGAGAGAAUGAGAAACAGAGAGCAUGAGAGGGAGGAGGGUCAGAGGGAGAAGCAGACUCCCUGCCGAGCAGGGAGCCCGAUGCGGGACUCGAUCCCGGGACUCGAUCCCGGGACUCGAUCCCGGGACUCCAGGAUCAUGACCUGAGCCGAAGGCAGUCGCUUAACCAACUGAGCCACCCAGGCGCCCUGAAGGAGUCUAUUGAAGGAGGUCAAAAGGUACAAAUUUCUGAUGACACUAGUUAAUAGUAUUUUUUUUAAGAUUAUUUAUUUGAGAGAGAGAGAGACUGAGGGGCGGGGCAGAGGGAGAGGAAGAAGCAGACUCCCUGCUGAGCAGGGAGCCUGACAAGGGGCUCAUUCCCAGGACUCGGGGAUCAUGACCUGAGCUGAAGGCAGAUGCUUAACCAAAUAAAUCACCCAAGCACUUCAAUAGUUAUUAAUAUUGUGUUGCAUAUUUGAAAGUUGCUAGGAGAGUGCAUCUUAAAAGUUCUUACACUGCCUUGAUACUGUAGCUUUAUUGUUAGUUUUGAAAUCAGGUAAUAUGAUGACACCAACUUUGUUCUUCUUUUAGAUGAUUGUUUCACUUCACAUAAGGAUUAAUUUACCAAUUUCUACAAAAAGUCCUGCUAAGAUUCUGAUAGGGAUUGUAUUGAAUUUAUAGAACAAAUUGAGUAGAAUUGCUGUCUUGACAAUAUUGAGUUUAUCAAUUCAUGAACAUGCAAUGUCGUUUCAUUUAUUUAGGUCUCCUUUAAGUUCUCUCAGCAGUGUUUUAUAUUUUUUAGAAUACAAGUCUUGAACAUUUGUUAAUUUUUUUCCCCAAGUAUUUUAUUCUUUCCGGUGCUGUUGUAAAUGGAGUCAUUCUCAAUUUAAUUUUGAUUGUCCACCAAUAGAAUGAAGAAAUACCGUUGGUUUUAUAUAUUAAUCUUGUAUCUUGAGACCUUGGUACAUUAAUUUAUUAGUUUUAGAAUUUUUUGUGAAUUUCUUGAAAUUUUCUGUAAGUCAUCUGUGAAUAAAAAUACUUUUAUUCCUUUCUCUCCAAUUUGGAUGCUAUUAUUAUAAUUAUUAUUAUCAUUAUUUACUUUAUUGCACUAGCUGGAACCUUCAGUAAAAUAUUGAAUAGAAUUGAUGAGAGUGGACAGCAUUAAUUUAUUUUCAAUCUUAGGAGGAAAGCAUCAAUCUUUCACCAUGAAGUAUGAAGUGAGCUCUGGGUUUUUGUAGAUUCCCCUUAUCAGGUUGAGGUUAUUCCCUUCUGUCCCUACUUUGUUAAAAGUUUGUUUGUUUGUUUGUUUUAUUUAUCUGAGAGAGAGAGAGAGUGGGAGUGGGGGGAGGAGCAGAAGGAGAGGAGGAGUGGGGGGAAAGAAUCUCAAGCAUACUCUGUGCUGAGCCUGGAACCUGGCAUGGGGCUUGAGCUGAGGACACUGAGAUCAUGACCUGAGGCACCUGGGCACCCCAAAAGUUUGUUUGUUUGUUUGUUUUUAAUUAUGAAUGGGUGUUGGAUUUUGUUAAAAUCUUUUUCUUUAUCUUUCAAGAUUAUCAUGCAUUUUUAGUCCUUUAUUCCAUUAACAUGGUAUGUUACAAUUUUUGAAUUUUGAAUGUUAAGCCAAACUUGCAUUCCUGGGAUAAAUCCCAUUUGAUCAUGGUAUUUAAUCUUUUUUUAUAUAUUGCUGAUUUGAUUUGCAAAUGUUUUGUUAAGGAUUAAAGAUUGUAGGAUCUAUCACUUUUUAGGAUAAAAAGAAUUAGUUGAAAGUUGAAUUGUUACCCAACUUUUACAUCAACAUGGAUGGGACUGAGGAGAUUAUGCUAAGUGAAAUGAGUCAAGCAGAGAAAGUCAAUUAUCAUAAGGUUUCACUUAUUUGUGGAACAUAAGGAAUAGCAUGGAAGACAUUAGGAGAAGGAAGGGAAAAAUGGGGGGCGGAAUUGGAGGGAGAGAUGAACCAUGAGAGACUAUGGACUCUGAGAAACA